UACAGAGGGUGCAAGCGUUGUUCGGAAUUAUUGGGCGUAAAGGGCGCGUAGGCGGUGCCACAAGUCACCUGUGAAAUCUCCGGGCUUAACUCGGAAACUGCCAUUGAUACUAUAGGUCUUGAAUUAUCUGGAGGUGAGCGGAAUAUGUCAUGUAGCGGUGAAAUGCUUAGAUAUGACAUAGAACACCAAUUGCGAAGGCAGCUCACUACGGAUAUAUUGACACUGAGGCACGAAAGCGUGGGGAUCAAACAGG
rnacentral:rRNA from 1 species